ensembl:lincRNA
CAGGGGUUGAAGGGAGGGCAGGGGAAUGGGGAAAAAGUAAGAACAAAGAUGAUUAUGUAAAGGUGCAAAUUUCCAAUGAUGAGUGUCAUUAUAUUGUAUACCUUAAAUGUACCAAUACAAUUAAUUUAUUUUAAAAAAAGAGUACAGGCUAAAAGACAACUUUCAGGAAACAGAAGGAACUGAGGAACAGGUCAAACAAUGGCGUGAGGAUGCAGCCAUUGCAGACUGCAGAUAUGGACAACUACACAACAAGCGGCCUGGAUUUCCCAACGGAAAACCGCAAGGGCAGGAGGGCGUGUGGCCCAGCCAGCCCGAGGAGCAGAAGAGACUCACACGCGUGAGCCAGGCAACCUUCUUGGAUCCCAGUUCAAACACGCUGGAAAUAAGUAUGAGUCAACUGAGAAAUAUAAAUACCAACAGCAUAUUUAAUGAUGCUGAGAAAGUCUGUUAGUGUAAUAAUAUUACUGGAGUUGUUGUCUUAAGAAUAACUUUAUAUUAAUAAAUAACAUGAUGCGAUGUCUGGAAAGGCUUCAGAUGUGUGGCAGGCAGGGUAGUAGGGUGAGCGGUGGGUGUGGGUGUAGAAACUCCUCUGUCUACAAUAUAAAAAGGGUUUUAUUUCUCCCAAAAUCCAUAUGGCUGCAUUCUUCAACAGGUCAAAACAAUAUCAUAACUGAGAAACACAGGACAGUAUGACCUGAUAAUAACUACGAGAUCUAAUCAUUGGAUGUGACCAAGGGAGGAGAGGACGUCAGUAAUAAUAAAACGGAACCACACAUCUUGUCUCAAGCAGUACAGCCACGCCCUGGGAUCUCUGCAGCCCGAGACUGUCCUCCAAACAAAGGCCACGUGUCCCCGGGCGGCAAGGCUCAGGGGAGCAGGACACCACUGCAGAGGAGCUCUAACUCCACCGCACUGGGAGCAACGGCUCCCCCUCUGGGUCAGCCAGCCCGUGUCCCUGGACGGCAGCGCAUCGGUCUCCAGCAGCCCUAGGCGCAGCCCUCUGGGCUCGGGGCGGUCCACCCUCGCCCCCCACAGCAGACAGCAGCUGGCCUCAGGCCGAAGCUGUGCACCUCAGCAGCCAGCAGUGCUCUCGCCCUACCGUGAUGCCCACGCAGCAGUGCUCCAAGUCCAGCUCCUGAAAUCCCCGCCCUCCCUGUGCCGCCUGCGACACGGCACCCAGUCCAUUAGCGCCACCUCUCCGCCACCCCACCCGGAGAGUCAGAAGGGCGCUGUGUAACUGCCCAGCCACGAACCGGUCAGUGGUAUCUACGGCCUCCGCCUGAGUCCGGCGUCCUCCGCCAUGGCUCCCACGCCCUCCUUUCCUGUGUCUCAAAUGCGCCCUGACUUUUCCAGUCUCUAAAACUGUAUGUCACUCGCGCCUCCUACCCAGAACCCCUUCCCCACACUCUCCAGGGGUAAAUCAGGAGCCGGCUCCAGCGCACCAAUUCCCUGAGCGGCUCUGCCUAGGCAGAGAGAUCUCCCCGCCUGACCCUGUGUCACACAGGGUUUUCACCUGACACACCACUGCCGGAAAGCUGCGGCUUUUCUAUAAAUUGUCUCCCCCAUUACAAGCCCUUCGGCAGAAAGGAAAGAGCUGUGCCCAUCCCGCGCCGCCUAACCCUCCGCUCUGCCCGAGGCGUGCGCAGGACGUACGCCCGCUGACACAUGUGCCAGCGCGGGACUCGGAGCUCAGCCACUGCUCUAUCGACACCCGCAAAAGCGCGCUGCCCCCGCACGGAGAGGCUCCUCGGAUUUAGCGUGCGUCUUCUCCUGGCGCGGCCACUAUCGCCCUUUUUGUUUCCUGGAAUACUCGAGGCUUUUCUCUGUUUAAAACAAACGUGGCGUGGCAUGGCGGUGCACGCCCGUGAUCCCAGAAGCACUCUGAGAGGCUGAGGCAGGAGGAUUACAAAUUCGAGCCCAGUCUGGGCAAUUUAGCAAGACCAGGUCUCAGAGAUAAAAAGUGGAAAAAGGCGGCGGGGGCGGGGUGGCUGGGGAUGCGGCUCAGUGGGAAGGCCCUGGCCUCCGUACCAGACUGCAGGAAAAUGAGGCGGUUCAUGGGGUACUGGAGGGCUCCCUUUAAGUCAGAGGAACACUGAUCCGCAGCUAUUUGAUGCUGCCAGUUCCCUCCUCUGCUGCCAUAACCUGCCCUGCUAAGAAAGAUUCAGAUUAAUGAAGGUGGAUGCCACAACCUGCCUCAGGAGGGACCCUUCCCCUUAGCGAAAAUACCCAGGAACUGCCCCAUCUGAAAAGGUAUUUUGCCUCAGGGCCAGCGCUCUUCUCUCUUCAAGAACCACAACAUAUUUGAAUUCUUAACCCGUGCUGCCUUGGAGGCUCUCCACCACGCUCCAG